GAUGAAGAACGUAGCGAAAUGCGAUACUUGGUGUGAAUUGCAGAAUCCCGUGAACCAUCGAGUCUUUGAACGCAAGUUGCGCCCGAAGCCAUUAGGCCGAGGGCACGCCUGCCUGGGCGUCACACGUCGUUGCCCCCCCAUCUACUCCUUCGGGAUUGCGGGUGGCGGAUGAUGGCCUCCCGUGCGCCUCGUCGCGCGGUUGGCAUAAAUGCCAAGUCCUCGGCGACGCACGCCACGACAAUCGGUGGUUGCGAAACCUCGGUUGCCCGUCGUGUGCGGUCGUCGCGCAUCGAGGGCUCGAAAAAAUUGCCGGGCUCCGGCUCGGCUUUCAACGCGACCCCAGGUCAGGCGGGGUUACCCGCUGAAUUUAAGCAUAUCAAUAAGCGGAGGA
rnacentral:misc_RNA from 1 species